CCUACGGGAGGCAGCAGUGGGGAAUAUUGGACAAUGGGGGGAACCCUGAUCCAGCGACGCCGCGUGAGUGAAGAAGUAUUUCGGUAUGUAAAGCUCUAUCAGCAGGGAAGAAAGAAAUGACGGUACCUGACUAAGAAGCCCCGGCUAACCACGUGCCAGCAGCCGCGGUAAUACGUAGGGGGCAAGCGUUAUCCGGAUUUACUGGGGGUAAAGGGGGCGUAGCCGGCGAUGCAAGUCUGAAGUGAAAGGCGGGGGCCCAACCCCCGGACUGCUUUGGAAACUGUAGGGCUGGAGUGCAGGAGAGGUAGGUGGAAUUCCUAGUGUAGCGGUGAAAUGCGUAGAUAUUAGGAGGAACACCAGUGGCGAAGGCGGCUUACUGGACUGUAACUGACGUUGAGGCUCGAAAGCGUGGGGAGCAAACAGGAUUAGAUACCCCUGUAGUC
rnacentral:rRNA from 1 species